CCUACGGGAGGCAGCAGUGGGGAAUAUUGCACAAUGGGGGAAACCCUGAUGCAGCGACGCCGCGUGAGUGAAGAAGGAUUUCGGUACGGAAAGCUCUAUCAGCAGGGAAGAAAAUGACGGUACCUGACUAAGAAGCCGCGGCUAACUAGGUGCCAGCAGCCGCGGGAAGACGGAGGGGGCAAGCGGUAGCCGGAUUUACUGGGUGUAAAGGGAGCGUAGCCGGCAGGGCAAGUCUGGAGUGAAAGCCAAUGGCUUAACCCUGGAACGGCUUUGGAAACUGUGCAGCUAGAGUGCAGGAGCGGUAAGCGGAAUUCCUAGUGUAGCGGUUAAAUGCUUAGAUAUUAGGCGGAACACCAGUGGCGAAGGCGGCUUACUGGACUGUACCUGACGUUGCGGCUCGAAAGCGUGGGGCGCAAACCGGAUUAGAUACCCGAGUAGUC
rnacentral:rRNA from 1 species